rnacentral:rRNA from 1 species
AGGCCCAGCUUGCUGGGUACUCGAGUGGCGAACGGGUGAGUAACACGUGGGUGAUCUGCCCUGAACUUUGGGAUAAGCCUGGGAAACUGGGUCUAAUACCGGAUAUGACCUUGGAGUGCAUGCUCUGGGGUGGAAAGCUUUUGCGGUUCAGGAUGGGCCCGCGGCCUAUCAGCUUGUUGGUGGGGUAAUGGCCUACCAAGGCGACGACGGGUAGCCGACCUGAGAGGGUGAUCGGCCACACUGGGACUGAGACACGGCCCAGACUCCUACGGGAGGCAGCAGUGGGGAAUAUUGCACAAUGGGCGCAAGCCUGAUGCAGCGACGCCGCGUGAGGGAUGACGGCCUUCGGGUUGUAAACCUCUUUCACCAGGGACGAAGCGCAAGUGACGGUACCUGGAGAAGAAGCACCGGCCAACUACGUGCCAGCAGCCGCGGUAAUACGUAGGGUGCGAGCGUUGUCCGGAAUUACUGGGCGUAAAGAGCUCGUAGGCGGUUUGUCGCGUCGUCUGUGAAAUUCUGCAACUCAAUUGUAGGCGUGCAGGCGAUACGGGCAGACUUGAGUACUACAGGGGAGACUGGAAUUCCUGGUGUAGCGGUGAAAUGCGCAGAUAUCAGGAGGAACACCGGUGGCGAAGGCGGGUCUCUGGGUAGUAACUGACGCUGAGGAGCGAAAGCGUGGGUAGCGAACAGGAUUAGAUACCCUGGUAGUCCACGCCGUAAACGGUGGGUACUAGGUGUGGGGCUCAUUUCACGAGUUCCGUGCCGUAGCUAACGCAUUAAGUACCCCGCCUGGGGAGUACGGCCGCAAGGCUAAAACUCAAAGGAAUUGACGGGGCCCGCACAAGCGGC